GGGAAAACAAAAUGUACAAGCGAAAAAGGUGUAUUAAAGCGGUUUCUUCAUCAAAAACAGCGAUUCUAGACAAAGAAUAACGCUGUAACACGUGAAGCCGAUUAAUUUUUUGGCAUGGACAUGCACAGUUCCUUCAGGCUAGAAGAGCCUGGUUUUCUUAUAAGUACAAAAUACUCUUGGCUAGGAGCGAGCGUAGAUGGCACUAGAAAAUGUUCAUGCUGUAAUCCUGCUUUAGUGGAAAGGAAAUGCCCUUUCCAUGGGAAAGACCAGGACCCCAUAUCUGCUUCCCUGUUACAGUUGUGGUUCUCUACAAUGAGCUGGAGAAAUAAGGAUGACUUUUUUUAAUGAGGAGAUGUCACUAAUGAGGAAACCCUUCUCAGACAUAACUGCAUCCCCCUCCUCAAGCAAGUGUAGCUGUCCAAAUUGUUUUGUGAUUUCUUUACCACUUAUCAAGCUGGCUGGCCAUAGAAGGGGAAUAAAUGAUAUAAAACCACUUGGUGUUACACCAACCAACAUCUUGGCACUGUUCCAGCGCUUGUAACUACUUAAUGUGGUCUUUUGGCUGGAAUGGAUUUUUGGCUUUUGAAUGAACAGUUUGAGACAGUCAAUUAUUAACCUGACAUUCCCAAAUGCCUUGACCUGUUUGGAAGCGAUUUCUUCACUUCUGAUCUUGAAGGCCAUGGAACUAACAAUGACAAAUUCUAUAAACUUACCUAGUGAAAUAGCCAAGAAUUUCACAUCAGUCAAGACCUUUUCUCAUCCUCACUAUUACAAGAUAAGAACAUAUUGUUCCAUUUUAGGCAAUACACCCUCAUUGUGUACUCCUUUAGCAUUCUUUUUAAUUUUUGGGAUAAUAUCUUGGUGUUUUCCCUUCAUUAAUGAAAUUUAUUGGCCUUUCAUAAAUUCUUAUCAUUGCUUAUCAUUGCCACCUUACUUCCUUUUUCUUGUCUUUUUCUCUGUUAGUUCUGUGGUUCUGACUCUAGGUUAAUCCUCACAGUUAUAGCCUGUCAUAAAGAAAUUAGGUGUCUGACUUUCGUAGUUUCUAUAUCCUUUUACAAAAUGAUUGAAGUAAACCUUAGGACUCCUUGUAACCUUGAAUUGAUCGCGACUCCUAGAUCUUGACCAUGACAAAAUGCCCUCCUUUUUUUGGGUGAGAAGAAUCUCAACGUGAGGAACUUCGCAAGUCUCGGUUUGUCACUGCCCCACAAAGCACUAUGAUCGCCGCCGCGCAUAGUUCUAUUUUGCACUCCUUGUUGAUAUUAGCACAAAUAAUUACAACUGAAAAGGAUUUAUUGAGUCAAUAAUCUCAAAUUUAUACUUACGUUAGUACAAUUUCUAGACCAAUUGCUUGUUUUAGAUUCAGCAGAAUCUACAGAAUCUAGUCCCAGUUAGGGAUGGUACGUUUUUAAUUGGGGGGGUGGGCCGGGGUAUUUUAGAAAUUUUUGGCCAAAAAUGUUGUGGCCCUCGCACUUCCCAGGUUUGAUUUAUGAAUGUCCCUUCAUAAAUACCUAAACAAAAGCAUCUGAUUCUCCCCCAC